UACGGAGGGGGCUAGCGUUGUUCGGAAUUACUGGGCGUAAAGCGCACGUAGGCGGCUUUGUAAGUUAGAGGUGAAAGCCCAGGGCUCAACCCUGGAAUUGCCUUUAAGACUGCAUCGCUAGAAUUGUGGAGAGGUAAGUGGAAUUCCGAGUGUAGAGGUGAAAUUCGUAGAUAUUCGGAAGAACACCAGUGGCGAAGGCGACUUACUGGACACAUAUUGACGCUGAGGUGCGAAAGCGUGGGGAACAAACAGG
rnacentral:rRNA from 1 species